rnacentral:rRNA from 1 species
UACGGCGGGGGCAAGCGGUGUUCGGAAUCAUUGGGCGUAAAGCGCGUGUAGGCGGCCAGGUAAGUCUGAUGUGAAAGCCCGGGGCUCAACCCCGGAAGUGCAUUGGAUACUGUCUGGCUAGAGGGCGAGAGAGGAAAGUGGAAUUCCUGGUGUAGGGGUGAAAUCCGUAGAUAUCAGGAGGAACAUCAGUGGCGAAGGCGACUUUCUGGCUCGUUACUGACGCUGAGACGCGAAAGCGUGGGGAGCAAACAGG